rnacentral:lncRNA from 1 species
UCAAAGUUAAAAUCUUCUCCUCUAACAUGAAAAAUUUUAUAAAAUAUUAUCUCUCAAUUAAUGGCAAAAUCCAUUUUUGUGACUGCAUAGUUAGAAAGAGAAGGAAAACUUCCAUGAGAAUCGAAAGGCAACUCACGAAAGUCAAAUUACCAAGGAAGCUAAGAAAUUUACCAGUACAAAAAAUGAUCGGGUAGUCUACUUUCACAAACAAAAGGGUCAGAAUUCAGAGCGAGGGAGUCACCAUCAAACCCUAAUCUGCUUUGAAAAGUGUGCCAGAGGGAGCACUGUGAGACCCCGGACUGCAUCAGUUUUAUGUAGUAAAUAGAAGUAGGUUCCUAAUGAACCCUCUGCAACAGCCAGCAGCUACUGUCACGGCGGAAUCCUCCACCGGCAAGGCAAGGCCACGGUGGGUUGUGGUGGAUGGGUGGUGUUUCUUUGGGAUUGAUAAAUCAUGGGUGAAGAUGGGUUGCUCUUCUGACAAAUGUCAUGUGAGUGUGGGGUUUGAAGUUUUCUUUUUUAGUGCUAAAAAAUUGUUAAAAAAAACGCUACUAGGCAAAGCAGAAGCAAUAGCACUUGCACAG